rnacentral:rRNA from 1 species
AGCGAACGCUGGCGGCAUGCUUAACACAUGCAAGUCGCGCGGGUGGUUUCGGCCAUCAGCGGCGGACGGGUGAGUAUCGCGUAGGAAUGUAUCCCGAGGUGGGGGACAACCCUGGGAAACUGGGGCUAAUACCGCAUGGGGCCUGUGGGUCAAAGCCUUAGGGCGCCUUGGGAGCAGCCUGCGUCCGAUUAGGUAGUUGGUGGGGUAAAGGCCUACCAAGCCUGCGAUCGGUAGCUGGUCUGAGAGGACGAUCAGCCACACUGGGACUGAGACACGGCCCAGAAUCCUACGGGAGGCAGCAGUGGGGAAUAUUGGACAAUGGGCGCAAGCCUGAUCCAGCAAUGCCGGGUGGGUGAAGAAGGUCUUCGGAUUGUAAAGCCCUUUCGGCGGGGACGAUGAUGACGGUACCCGCAGAAGAAGCCCCGGCUAACUUCGUG